GCCGGGGUGGUGGAAAGGCAGACACAGGGGAUUUAAAAUCCCCUGGGGGUUACCCCGUGCGGGUUCGAGUCCCGCCCCCGGCA
rnacentral:tRNA from 1 species